UUCUUCGAUUGGGGUCAGGUUUCUCCAAGUGACGUUGCCUCACAUAUCUGGCUAUUUGGUUUCUUGUUUGUCAUUGGCUUUGGUAGCAUUUUUCGAUUGAUCUUGUGGGGUUUUUUGAGUGUGUGGAAGUACUACGAUUGUUUGUCCGACUUGGGUGGACAUGGCAGUUACAUCGCAAGCCAAUGCCCAGGAGGUCGCGGCGGUGAAGAAAGAUGCUGUGAGGGACAAGUCUGUGUACAGCCCUGUGCAGUUGAGUCGGAUUGAUCAUACGCCAACGUUGCCUGCUGUGUUGCAGGGAAAUUUCAAGCUUAAUCAUGGGCCUCCCACGACUGCGGCGGGGCAACCUGAGGAGAUCCAGAAGCUAUUCCCCUGCCUGUAUGGACAACCCUCAGUGCAGCUCGUGGAAAGCGACGCUCCGACAUACAACGUGGACCAGAAGCUGAAGGUUGGGGUGGUGUUGUCUGGCGGGCAAGCUCCUGGGGGCCACAAUGUGAUUGCAGGUUUCUUCGAUUAUCUCCAGACGCACGCCCCCGGGAGUGUCUUGUAUGGAUUCAAGGGUGGUCCGGCUGGGAUCAUGCGAAACAAUGUGGUGGAGAUUACCGCCGACUUCCUAUACCCAUACAGGAACCAGGGAGGGUUCGACAUUAUAUGCAGUGGGAGGGAUAAGAUUGAGUCUCCCGAGCAGUUCCAGCAGGCUGUGGAUACCGUGACGAAGUUGGACUUGGAUGGUCUGGUGGUAAUCGGAGGCGAUGACUCCAACACGAAUGCGGCUCUUCUGGGUGAGCACUUUAGGGCAAAGAAGGUGAGGACCCAUGUCAUCGGGUGCCCAAAGACUAUUGACGGGGAUUUGAAGUCCCCGGAAGUGCCAAUUAGUUUCGGAUUCGACACUGCUUGCAAGAUAUAUGCCGAAAUGAUAGGCAACAUCAUGGUGGAUGCACGAUGCACUGGGAAGUACUAGCACUUCGUUAGGCUUAUGGGCAUAGCUGCUUCCCAUAUCACUCUNNAGUGCGCGCUUCAGACCCACCCUAACGUCGCCAUCAUGGGGAGGAGGUGAACGCGCAAAAGAAAACCCUGAGACAAGUUACGAACAGCAUCGCGGAUAUUGUGUGCAAGCGUGCAGUGGCAGGCAAACAAUACGGUGUGGUGCUGAUCCCAGAGGGGCUGAUUGACUUCAUACCUGAGAUCCAACACCUCAUCUCAGAGCUCAACGAUAUCCUCGCCAGCCAGGGCUGCGACGACCAUGGGCACUGGAAGGCUACCCUAAAACCAUCCUCUAGGGCGCUCUUCGACUCUCUCCCCCACAGCAUUCAGGAGGAACUUCUUCUCGAGCGUGACCCGCACGGCAAUGUCCAAGUCUCCCGAAUCGAGAUGGAGAAGAUGUUGAUCUCAAUGAUUGAGACCGAACUCAACGCCCGGAGGCACGAAGGGGGCUACUCCGGCCAAUUCAAGGGUCAAGCCCAUUUCUUCGGCUACGAGGGCCGAUGUGGGAUGCCGACCAACUUCGACGCCACGUAUUGCUACGCGCUCGGAUUCGCAGCAGGAGCUCUUAUGCACUUGGGCCAGACAGGACUGAUUGCCUCUGUUGCCAAUCUCACCGCACCUGCCGCAGAGUGGACCGUGGGCGGAACCGCCCUUACACAGCUAAUGGACGUAGAGAGGCGUAAGGGAAGGAAUAAGCCCGUGAUCAAGAAGGCUAUGGUUGAACUUGGUGGCGCCCCCUUCAAGAAGUUUGCGUCUGUACGUGACGUUUGGGCCGUGGAGGACAGCUACGUUAGCCCCGGCCCUAUCCAGUUCGCAGGCCCUACUGCUGACGAGACUAACUUUACUUUGAAGCUCGAGCUUGGGGCUUCAGUAAAUUUGUAGGUGAUGAAGAAGAUGUUAAUUUGAAUGAUCUCGCGAGGUUAAGAUGUGGAUAAGAAGCCCGUUCCUUCAAUGAUGUUUGUCGAAAGUCAGCUUCGAUGCCUCAUUGAUGUGCAUCACAAGCGACUGAGCCAGCCGUUGCACGGUAGAUGAUGGCGCCGUCGAAUUCACUGCUGGUCUAGAAUCCUGCCUGAAACUUCUUAGGAUUCUUUUCGUUCAUGAGAAGGUCAAAAUUGAUGAGAUGUGCUGCUUUGCCGAACGAGCAAUUUUGAAGGGAAAGGAACUGGAGCCGUUGCGGUGGUUCUGUUCAGUCUUGAAUACAAUGUCAGAUUAUGUGACACACUUCGACAUUGUUCUUCUUCAUUUGGUGUUGUCAUACUGACCCACGAGAUGAGGACGUUGUGAUAUUUUCUCCUACUGAUGUUUUUGGAACGAAGCCGUGAACAUUGUCAAGUCUUGAUUUUUUUAUGUGUCGCAGUUCAUGCAUCUGUUAUAUUGGACAUCUGUAACUUUAUUUU